CUAAAUUAUCAUACAAUCAGAUUAAGUUGGUGGAACUAAAACAGGGCGCAUUACCUCAAACAGCCAGCAUUUACAAGAACCAAAUUGAUUUUUUUUUCUUACAAAAGUCAGGCAACUUCCAAAUUAAGUCACUUUUUACCAUAUACCCUGGAGAAUAACAUGGCCCGACACACCACACGUCCCACUUAUCUAGUUCAAGCGAGUAACAUAACGUGAGAAACUGCACUGUGUAAUUCCUUUAUUUUCUGCAUAUUAGUGCUUUACCAACACUACAACCAUAAAGAACACAAUUCCAAGUACUGUACUUUUUAGUUUGGGGAGAUCACAGUCUACAGACUCAUUUACUUAUAUUAAACAAGAUUAACCUCAUUCAAAACUUACUGCAGUUUAUAAAUUCACAUAAAUACAGAAAUGGUACAUUUAAGAUUUAACAUGAGGGUUUCAAGUUUCCUCCAGUUUAGGCAUUUAUACCUUUGUGCUUGUUUUGUUUCAGGAUGUUACUAUAGCAUUGAUAUUGGAUAACCCAUAUUUAUAUACUUUAAAAUGCAAUCAUUUGAAACACUAAAAAUUACAUUUAUGGUGGAGCUUUGGAAAUUUUAGAAAGCAACCAGUGUUCUUAGAUGUGUUUAUCAGCCUCAUUUCUAGAGCUCUUUCUACUAAAGUGAAACUGAGAACUUCGUACUUUAGUUGUAUCCUGAAAUCAAAAAAAUCCCUCUGCACCAACAGGAGCCUACAUGAGAAUACCCUUUUGCAUCUGCUUUAAGUAAAAUGUUUGUUAAGAGUUUUACUUUGAAUAGUUCAUUUUUUUAUAGUCUUACACUUCUCAUACAUCUUUGGUAAAAGCUCCAUUAUACAAUAUGGCCAAAGUGUGAAGGACCAAUACUGUCCAACUAUACCAUGAUAUCCCGCUCAAUUUUAGUUUUCAGACACCCUCAUAAACAAAACCCACUCCACCUUUUCCUGUAUACUGCCUUUGCAGUCUACAUUUCUGAAAUUCCCUAUUUAAUUCCUUGAGGAUCACUAAAAUUAAUCCUUAAGGCUAUAUAGGAACCAGAUGCUGCUUUACAAUUCUGCAUCAAGCAUUAACAUUUGGUUCAAAAUAUUAUCAUAGUGGUCGCAAUCCAGUUACUGGUCCUAACCAGCUAACCAAGUAAUCUUGUUAGGAUCUGGAUAUCACCAGCGAGCACACUGCUUACACAUGAAGAAAAAUAAGUUUACAUUCAUUGUCAUCUGUAGGUUCUUUCUCUUCAUCCUACGUCCCCUUUAAUAGUCAUCCCUCAAGUCUACACAUCAUUCAUUCAUCACGCUUCCUUCCUUAAAGGAGACAGUGUACUAUUGAACCAACAGGAUAUCUUUUUUAUUAUUUGCAUGAGUUAAUCCUACAAACAAAAUUAAAUACCUCUUUUAUAAAACAUCUUUUCCAGUGUUCUAAUUGAUGGAGAUGCGGAUCACUCAUCUAUAAAAAAUGACUUACAGCUUCAGCUUAAUCAGUUGCUAUAAUGUGAAAACAGGAAUGUGUAUUUUUUUCAACUAGGUAAAAGGUGCAUAUAAUUUGAAUUGUUAAAUGUUUUAUUAAUGAACAAAGUAAACCUUUUAGUAAUUUUUAAAUUACUGGUCUUAGGUGUUUGAAACAAGGUAAAAGUAUACAUAGGAAAAUGAAAGAUUCUCUCGAAAUAAAA
rnacentral:lncRNA from 1 species